rnacentral:rRNA from 1 species
UUUUGCCUACGGGAGGCAGCAGUGGGGAAUAUUGCACAAUGGGGGAAACCCUGAUGCAGCGACGCCGCGUGAGUGAAGAAGUAUUUCGGUAUGUAAAGCUCUAUCAGCAGGGAAGAAGAAAGACGGUACCUGACUAAGAAGCCCCGGCUAAAUACGUGCCAGCAGCCGCGGUAAUACGUAUGGAGCAAGCGUUAUCCGGAUUUACUGGGUGUAAAGGGAGCGCAGACGGCAAGGCAAGUCUGAUGUGAAAGUCCGAGGCUCAACCUCGGGACUGCAUUGGAAACUGUCUGGCUAGAGUGCAGGAG